rnacentral:rRNA from 1 species
UACGUAGGGCGCAAGCGUUGUCCGGAAUUAUUGGGCGUAAAGAGCUCGUAGGCGGUUUGUCGCGUCUGCUGUGAAAACCUAAGGCUCAACCUUGGGCUUGCAGUGGGUACGGGCAGACUAGAGUGCGGGUAGGGGUGACUGGAAUUCCUGGUGUAGCGGUGGAAUGCGCAGAUAUCAGGGAGGGAACACCCGAUGGCGAAAGGCAGGU